UACGUAGGGCGCAAGCGUUUGUCCGGAAUUAUUGGGCGUAAAGAGCUCGUAGGCGGUCUGUUACGUCCGCUGUGAAAACCCAGGGCUUAACCCUGGGCUUGCAGUGGAUACGGGCAGACUAGAGGCAGGUAGGGGAGAAUGGAAUUCCUGGUGUAGCGGUGAAAUGCGUAGAUAUCAGGAGGAACACCGGUGGUGUAGACGGCUUUCUGGACCGUAACUGACGCUGAGACACGAAAGCGUGGGGAGCAAACAGG
rnacentral:rRNA from 1 species